rnacentral:tRNA from 1 species
GCCGAGGUAGUCUAGUGGAAAGGCGCGAGCCUGGAAAGCUCGUGGGGCGUUAGCCCCUCGGGAGUUCGAAUCUCCCCCUCGGCG